AGUGAACGCUGGCGGUAGGCCUAACACAUGCAAGUCGAACGGCAGCACAGUAAGAGCUUGCUCUUACGGGUGGCGAGUGGCGGACGGGUGAGGAAUACAUCGGAAUCUACUUUUUCGUGGGGGAUAACGUAGGGAAACUUACGCUAAUACCGCAUACGACCUACGGGUGAAAGCAGGGGAUCUUCGGACCUUGCGCGGUUGAAUGAGCCGAUGUCGGAUUAGCUAGUUGGCGGGGUAAAGGCCCACCAAGGCGACGAUCCGUAGCUGGUCUGAGAGGAUGAUCAGCCACACUGGAACUGAGACACGGUCCAGAGUCCUACGGGAGGCAGCAGUGGGGAAUAUUGGACAAUGGGCGCAAGCCUGAUCCAGCCAUACCGCGUGGGUGAAGACGGCCUUCGGGUUGUAAAGCCCUUUUGUUGGGAAAGAAAAGCAGCAGGUUAAUACCCCGCUGUUCUGACGGUACCCAAAGAAUAAGCACCGGCUAACUUCGUG
rnacentral:rRNA from 1 species